rnacentral:lncRNA from 1 species
CGGUGGGCGGGACAGGGGGCGGUGGACGGUCAGUAAAACUUGUGUGUGUGUGUGUGUGUGUGUGUGUGUGUGUGUGUGUGUGUGUGUGUGUUUCUACAGCAGCUGCUGUUAUGGACUCGUGUGCGUCACGGGAGAUGAUGGUCAUCGAUCACUGAUCCAUUGAUCACUGAGUCUCUCAUUCGGGAUUCGCGGAACCGCAGACUCUCUUUCUGUGUGUGUGUGUGUGUGUGAGUGUGAGUGUGAGUGUGUGUGUGGUUCCACUUCUGUCCUACCUUUCGUUUCCAUCCUCCUGGUGAUCGACAGAGAGUCACAAACUCGUCAUAACUGACGGGUUCGUUACGGCUCAAUCAUUGAAUGAACGAAUGAAUGAAUGAAUGAAUGAAUGAAUGAAUGAAUGAACGACCGACCGAACGAACGACGGCGUGGAUCCGAACAUCAGAGAAAUACUGCAGCGCGCGGCGGUUUCGAUCUUGUGCGGCAUCAAUCUGUGAUCUCCAGUUCGCUCCUUUUGAUCCCGAGGGACGAAAUCUCUAGCGACACCUUCCUUAUCAGAAAAGUGCAGAAAUCGAACCAGCAUGCAUCUUGAUGGAUCAGGUGCACCGAUGGGAUAUCUGUAGGUGACGCCUAUCUCGGUUACACUAAAAUCGGAUGGCAGACCCACCCAAGACGGCAAUUUGUUCUGCAGAAAUCAUCUAAGUGGGAUAUUACCUUCAGCAUUCUCAGGUAAACUCACGAUUUUCGGAUAAUCGCACCGAGUCUCAUUUUCCAGAUUGUGCAUUUUGGCUUGGUACAGCUCAACUUGUUCCAGGGUGGCUGUUGAUUCAUCUAGCGAUUUAUACCAGUGCUCAAUAGCAGGAAUCGUGUAUUCAGCCUCAACAGUGUAAUUCUCCAAGCUAUUGGUGUGAUGGGUUCAGCCAAUAAGUUUUGUUUCAUAACCACAACAAAAAACAAUAGACUCUUUAGUUUGGUAAUGUCAUUUGUGAGCCGAGCUUCCAUCGUGCUCAUUUGCUCAACAUAAUAUUUACUUGUUUAGAGAUCUCUUUCAUAACACUCAUUCUACCAGAUUUUUCUUUCACACCAUGGUGCAAGUUCUUCAACCGAUUUUGAACUGGCACAAAUGCAAACAGCAGCCCUAUAUUUUGAAUGUGUUCAUGGCCCUGAGUUGACUUUCUGAAAGCAUGUCGUUGAAAAAACUGGAUAUUCUUUGAUGUCAUUGGUGCAAGAUAUGGUGUCAGCUGUAUUUUUGUAAAAUCAAUGAGAGAAAAGGGAGAAAAAUAUCAGAAUUGUGGGUUUCUAAAGAUAAGGCAACAUUGAAACAGCUAUCUUUGAACCAGAACACGCGACUAGAUCAUAAAGCUUUAUGUGCAGACUGGGAUCGUAUUGGCAGUAAAUGAUAGAUGAUCAUAAAUCUAUUAUCAAGAGCACGGGCCUUUGAACAAGAACUGAACAACGAAGAAACAAUGUGCUGAAUAAAAAAUAUCUCUUCACAAAAAGUAGCUCA